rnacentral:tRNA from 1 species
GCCUUCGUGGUGUAGUGGUCAGCAACCUGGGCGUGUAAUUCCAGAGGUCCGUGGUUCGAGUCCCGGCGAAGGUG